GGCGGGCCUUCGCGGACGCGCUCGCCUUCUCCGAGCACUGGGCGGGAGGCCAGCCCCCAGCUUCUAGCCUACCAGCCCGGCCUCCUCCGCGGUUGUAACUCUGCAGCGCAAGUGCGUCUUGGAAAGCCUAGGACCAGUCAGUGGACCACCUAAGGAUCCCGUCCUUCCUCAGUGAAACCUCCCUGGAAACAAUCUGCAGACUGAUCCAGCCACAUCCCUCCCAGGUGAUUCCAAAUCCAGCCAAGGUGACGAUGAAGAUGAACUCCCACAGUCUCUUCCAGAGAUAGGUCUUACUAUGUAGCUCCAGGGGACACUGAACUCUCAAUCCUCCUUCGUCAGCCUGUGGAGUGCAAGAUUGCAGGCAUCUGCCACCACACCUAACUCUUGGUUCUCUGCUGUUUGAAUCCAACCUUCUCUUCAAUCCUCCCAAGGUCCAUAUACUCCCCAAAGAAUUCGCUGUUGUGCAGUUCAGCCAGAGCCCGUUAGCGGUUUGAUAGAAAGAACUCAGACUGCUACAGCUUCCUGCUGAGCCAUCUUGCCAGCCCUUAAACAGAUUUUUUUAAAAUAUGAUACAAGUUAAUGUCAGAUAAUGUAACUUCUUAAAAAUCUGUUGCGUGUUUUUUAUCAUACUGAAUUCUGUUGUGAUCUAGUGAGUUUGAAAAGUCUAAUUUGUUGGAAUCUACAAAGAGGAGGAGGAGGUGGAAGGUGGUUCUCUUGAGGCUAACUUGGAGGGAUUAUCCUGUUUAACAAAGCUUCUUUCUGCUCCUUCUUUGAUGCCAGCAGUUGCCUGUUAACCUUUCCCGUCGGCUCCAGCUCAGUCUCUGUUGAGAAAGGCAUAGCACGCUUUAGCAUUCUCCUGAAGCAUCUGUGGGAGUGUAUUGGGAUGCUCCAGGGAGAGAAUGAGAAUCUUUAGUCUGUCAUGGCGGUAAAAAUGUUCACGAUGAGUUUCCACCACAGGAAGUGUACAGCUUGACUUAUUGCUGAUUAUAUACAUUUACUACUUAAGACAUAAAACUAUGAGCCAGGUGCGGUAGUGCAAAUCUUAAAGUCAGCACUUGGAAGGCUGAGGCAGGAGGAGUUCAAGGUCAUUCUCCGAUUCAUAGUGUGUUUGAUGCCAGCCUGGGCUACGCGAGAUCCUGUCUCAGAAAGCGAGCAAACAGGGCCUGGCGAGAUAGCUCAGCAGUUAAGAGCAUCUUUUGUUCCUGCAGAGGACCCUGGUUCAGUUCCCAGCACCCGAAUGCUAGCUGUAGUUGGAAGGGCUCCAGUGCACUCCUCUGGCCUCUGGAGGCAAUGCACACACAUGCUGUACAGAUAUGCAUGCAAGCAAAAGCUUGUACAUGUAAAAGUAAUUUUUUGAAAUUAAAAUUAAAUUUUUAAUUAAAUUAAAAAAAUUUAAAUUUAUGUAUUUAUUUAUUAUUUUUUGAGGCAGCAUUUCUCUCUGUGUAGCUCUGGCUGUCCUGGAACUUGCUUUGUAGCCCAGGCUGGCCUUGAAGUCACAGAGAUCCAUCUGCCUGCCUCUACAUCCCAAGUGCUGGAACUAAAGGUGUGAGCUACCACUCCUAGCUAAACAUUUUUUUAAGGAAUAAUAAUAAUAAAAUAACAAACACAAUCAACAAUCACCAAAGAUAAAUAAAUAAAUUAAUUAAUUAAUAAAACUGACACCAGAAAUAUGUCCCUAGCCUGAGGUUGUGAGCCAAAGCUCAAGGACUGAGGGCAGAAAGGAGAGAGCAAAUGGAGCACCAGCAUUUUCUCCUUUCUGCUUCCUAGUCCUCCAAGAUGUAAGCCGGCAGCCUCUUGCUCUGCCUAGAGUCAUGCCUCCUCUGCCAUAGGGGAACUAAGGCAUUGGUGGAAGGGAGCUCAGGGAAAAGCCAAAGUAAAUUUCCAGCCAUUUGAUCACCAAUGAGCGAUGAGGUCCCAGGUUAGUCACUGAGCCACCCUGCCCUCAUUCCCUCAGUUGCAGAACAGACUCAACAACACAAUCACUCAGAAGUUUUGGAAGAUAAACGUUUCGGCUGCACAAAGACAAACACACUGGCUAUAUAAUAAACUCUCAUAAACAUUUAGGACUCGUGUGGAAGUUGCUCGUAAGAUUAGGCAUGAAACUUUUUAAAAAUCAAAAGAUAAGUUAUGCUAAUGGCAAUCCACCCACAGAACGGAUGCUUAGUCUGCAUUCAGGAUUAGCUAGGAGCAUCUUUGAAGACAUAGCACGGCAGAUAAAACAUUCAUUCGCCCCGAGAAUCAACCAAGUUUCUCUUUCCCGACUUCUGGUAUAAACUGUGUAACAACGCACACUCUUGUUUUGUGUGAUUCUUUUUGCUUGGAUUUUAUUUAUGUUCAGUGAAUAAAU